UACGUAGGUGGCAAGCGUUACUCGGAAUCACUAGGCGUAAAGCGCAGGUAGGAGGUUUGAUAAGUCUGUUGUGAAAGCUCCCGGCUUAACUGGGAGAGGCCAACGGAAACUGUCAGGCUAGAGUGUGGUAGAGGAAGAUGGAAUUCCCGGUGUAGCGGUGAAAUGCGUAGAUAUCGGGAGGAAUACCUAUGGCGAAAGCAGUCUUCUGGACCAUCACUGACUCUGAUCUGCGAAAGCUAGGGGAGCAAACAGG
rnacentral:rRNA from 1 species